GGCCAAGGCUUCUUGAAAGGCUGGUCAUGCCCCAGUGAUCAAUGAAGAACUCAGGGAUAUCCCAAAACUCAGGACUAUAAGUGUAAAUAACAAGAGCUGCCUAUAAAUCUACCUCAGAAGACAAAGGGAAAAGCAAAACUCUGCCCAGGAAGACCUUACUUUACAAACCAGGUGACCAAAUUUCUAAAACAUCAUUCCCGUAAUCCCUGAUCAACAGAAAGGAAGCUCUGGAAGCAUGAAUGCUCAACCAUAUUUACCAGCCUUCCUGUGGUCAUUUGUCUGAGCUCCAGCUAGUGAAGUAUGAGUAGAACGGACAUGCACCACUUCCAGACCUGGCACCGGCAAACCCCCCAUGGCAACCCUCCAACCCUUUCCUCAACAACUGGACCACGCUGGAAAGGACUGAGGAUCUAGAGGAGGACAGGGCUGUAAUAUGGAAGGAGUUUGGUUUCUGAAGGACCAUGUAGCAGGCCACCUGCAGGGCGGGAACAUCUUUAAUAGGUUUGGAAUAGCAAGAAAUAAACUGGUCUUGUAUUAA
rnacentral:lncRNA from 1 species